GAAAUGCAGAAGUGCAGCCAGUUGCGAAAUCACAGCGACUUGCUCAAUUUGCAGUGUGCGAUCUUCUCCUGCAGGGCUCCAACCUGAAUAUGCCAUCGGCGAGGGCAGCAGAUUCCCUGGCCAGGCUGUGGAAGGGGAAAUCAUUUGGAUCUGUUUAAAAGGGGAAAGAAUUAAGAGAGCUGACAUUUCCGGAAGAAACAACGUUCAGGCAUGCAACUGGAAUUUAAAUGAGAAUCUGCUUGCGAUGCUGACAGCAGGAGCCUUGCAGACUCAAACCUCAGGACGCACAGAAAGGACCAGAGCUCCGACUCCUGGGGUCAGCGGUGUUGGAUUUUAUUUGCACUUUUCUGGGUUUAAAUAUUUUGAAAAUUUUUUUAAAAAGCGUUUUUCUCUUC
rnacentral:lncRNA from 1 species